AUAUUUUGUGGGAAUAAAGAGGGUAAAAUUCUCUGAUAAAGAACAACAGUGUCAGGAUGACUCAGGUGAGCGUUUUAGCCCAUGAACCUUUUGUUUUAUUAGACAGACGCAUUAUAUUGUGUUUUUUUUUUUUUGUUUAAGGGAGGAAAGUGAUCGCUGUAUCAACAUCAGAUAUCAGUAAAAAACUCUUUGAAUACUUUGUAUCUUCGAAUUCAUUCGAUUUACAAUUCACCUUCCAAUAUGAUGAUAAGAAGCGUUACACCAAUACAGAUGCUACCAAACCGCUCCUGAUAUUGUGCUGCAUUGUAUCAAGGGUAGACAAUGAUGUAAAAGCUGCUUUGGAAGGCCUAAAUCUUACAGACAGUAAUGCAAUGCUAGUGGUAAUGGGACACUGUGCCAAGAAUGUGGAACCUGAUCGACUUCUGAAGGAAAACCCUAACAACAUUAAAUGUUUCACUAAUAUUUUAAUUUGGAACGAGGAAGCUUAUGAAUGCGAUUUAAACAAGAAAGCUUGUAAAGAAAUCAAUGAAUAUUGCUCUAAGUUUUUUCCAAACGCCGAAACCCAAGAACCAGUUGGCGAAGAACAUGACCAAAUCCGGGUGGAUGGCAUUUCUGCAUCGACAUGUAUGUAAUUGAUUCAGUGUCAUAAACACAUGUGUAGCAUUAUUUACGAAUAAGUUCAAAUUCUUAAAUAUUAAAAUUAAAAUAUACUUUUCAAGGUUUUAUUUGUUUUACAAAUCAUUGUGAUACCCUUUGUGUGAAUUCAAAUAUUCUUUCUAAUUCAUUAUGUAAACCAAUUACAUAAGUAUCUAACUGCUGUUUCAUUUGGAUAUUUCUUUGGUAUGAAAGGCACAUGUCAGCUUGAUGUUGAAAUUAAAAUAAGAUGUUUUUGUAAAAUACAAAUGCCCCCGAUAAUGGCCAAUUUAAAAGAUGGCCAAUGUCACAAGGACAAAUAUAUUGGUACUAGUAGAAAGAUCUUGUCACAAGAACUGCUCAUGUGCAACAUGGAAGCUCUAAUAUAGAUUUACUAUUUAAAAGUUAUGACCAAUGUCAAUCUUUUAAAAAGUAGUUCAAAUUCCAAGGCCAAGGUCACAUGGUACAGAAUGCUGGUACCCACGGAAAGGUCUUGUCACAAUGAAUACGAAUGUGAAAUAUGAAAGCUCUAGUACUUAUUGUUCAAAAGUUAUUAGCAAGGUUAAAGUUUUCAAAAAGUAAGUCAAACUCCAAGGUCAAGGGCAAAGGGUAAAAUAUGUUGGUACCCACUGAAAUGUCUUAUCACAAGAGAUAUUUAUGUGAAAUAUCAAAGCUCUAGCAUUUACUGCUCAAAAGUUGUUAGCAAGGUUAUACUUUCAGACAGAAUGACAGACAGGACAAAAACAAUAUGCCCCCCCCCCCCCCGAUCUUCGAUCUCGGGGGCAUAAAGAGGUACAUUCGUACGUAGAUUAUAGAGAUGUGUUUCUAACAGAGAAUUUUCAUAUUCUAGGUUGAAAUAAAAUUAUGUUCUAAAACAGAUUUGUGUUUUAGAAACAUGCAUUCUAAAGCUGUAAUAUUGUAUAUUUGUAGUUUCAAUCUUUAGCAUUAGAAUCAAACAUUGAUGCUGACAGGCAUGCAUAUCGUUUUUCAUUUCCAAAGUUCAAUACAACUUCAUAAGCGAUGUGCAUUGUAAGAGAUAUGCUUAACUAAUCCUAGGCACCUGUUCCCACCCUGGUGUAUCCAAGUGUCUGUGUUUGCUUUACUCUUAAUUUUACGAAAUUGAUCACCAAUUGUUGUGUCCAUUUUUUCAUGAACAACAACACUGAGAUAUCUCAAAAGUUAGGUACCGUGGAAUAGCUAGCCGAGGAAUACCACUAACUUCUGGAGUGUCAUUUUUUUCCCGAGUUUAGGAAGAAACAUGUGCUUAAAAAGUUUUGUGACAAACCUUUUUUCUGUAUUAUUGUCAACUGCUGAAUCCAAUGUAUAUAAAAAAAAUUAUAUAAUCCAUAUUUAUCUCUGUUCACUCUCUAUUCUGGCGCUGUAUAUUGAUAUAUUUGUAUAUAUAAUAUUGUGCAUCUCAUAUACCAUUUUGUGGUUGGAGCCAAAUAAAUUGAAAUUGAA